rnacentral:pre_miRNA from 14 species
UGCUAGAGGACAAGACAAUGAAAAUGUCUCCCAUUGAAAGAUCCCACGCAGAGAGACCCUUACUCAAGUCUUGGGAAAUCGCGGACCCCAGACACAGAGAGACCA